rnacentral:lncRNA from 1 species
UAUUAAAUCUAAUACAUUUGAGUGUAUAUCACAUUCAGUAUAAAGUAAAUAGUUUAUCAUUCAAUUUUGAAAGCAAGUUUUAUUUAGAAAAUUCAGUGCCACUUAAUUAAUUCAGAUGUUCAAUUUUUGGUUACCAAACUGAAUAUGCUAAGAUCUGAAUCUCUUAAAUUUAAGUGUUAAAUUGAGUUAUCAAACAAGAUCUUAGUUUCAUUAAUAAGGUUAAUAACUACCUAAAAAAAAUAGGGCUAAUAAGUAAUUUAGCCAAAUCAUGACUAUAGAAAUUCUUACCCUUUUAACAAGAGAGAACUUACAAAGCCAAAAGACUUGUGCAAAAGUUUGAUGGUC